UCCAAUGAAAACUGGAGGAAUUACGAGGUUCCUCCAAUCCCGAUCUGCCUGGAGAAUCCAUGCAUGGGGAGAGUGAGGGGCGGCUAGGCUGGUCAUGGCAUUUUACUAGUGGAAAAAACGGCAGGACAAGGAACGCAACAUUUUUGACUGUUGGGGUAGUUUUGGUGAUUUUACGUCACUGAAAGUAACCUUGAGCUACUUAUUUAGGAAGUGAAUUGAUUUGCUGGAGAGACACGAUUGUUAUUGUAUCGGAACUGAAAGCCAGCCUACUUGCUUGAGCAAUAGAUACAAAGUUUACACCUCCUAGCCCACUGGAUAAUUGUGUGACACACGGAUCUGGGACGACUACUCGCUGCAAUGGACCACUGGAUUUAAGGAGUUUGGGACGCGUUUUGGGUUUUGGAUUAACAAUUAGGUUCGUACCCUUCCGUCUGGUGUGAAAACGGAUAGUCGCCAGUCAUGCCAGCGAAAACAAAGUACAAUCUUGUUGAUGAUGGCCAUGAUUUGAGAAUUCCAAUGCAUAACGAGGAAGCAUUCCAACAUGGGAUCAACUUCGAAGCAAAGAAAAAAAGUUCUGGGAACGUUCUGGAAAUGUUGCAUAUCUAAGGCCGUAUUGGAUCAAACUGCUGAAAGAGAAGAUAAAGUGUGUGUGGAGCUUGCUUGGACAGUUUCCCCACCUGCACCAUCUCCAUUUUGUCCAGAAGUAUACUAGUUAAAGAUGGAGCAAUUGUGGGACACCACCACUUGUGAACACCUACUCAACCUCUAAGGUCUAAAUCAGUCCCUGAUUAGAGAAAAACAUUUAUUUUUUUUUGUAGUGGAACUGGCUUCGAGGUUCAGAGUUGAGUUUGAGGGGUCUAUGGGUUGAUUUAGGAUUGGACCAUACUUUUGGAAUCAGAACUUUCAACUAAAGUGUGACAUACAUUAGACGUCUGUUAUGGUUAACGUGAUUCAGUUUGUCUCACAGAAGUUUCUCUAAGCUCAACUGGAAGUGUCACAGAGCAGAGGUACAGUAAAUGGCCUACAGUAACUUGAUAGUAUUUAAAAACAUUGAAUCAUUCACAUCGAAACAGUGGACCUUAUUUUGUAUUGUCACAUUUUAGAUCCUGAACUUUCAAAUGAACUCAGAUGUCUGUUAAUGUUAACGUGAUUCAUUUUGUCUCAGACAUCACUCCACCCAACCGUACCACAAGACAGCAGAUGUAUGGCUUACAGUAACUUAAUAUAUUUAAAAACAUUGAAUCAUUCACAUCAACACAAUAGACCUUGUUUUGUGGCGUCAACAAUGAAGUGUGACAUACAGUACAUUAGGCGUCUGUUAACAGACAUCUCUCCACCCAACCGUACUGCAACAGUCCCAGUCUCUCCACUUGUCCCGCAGUCUCCCCAAUCAGAAGAGUAGGACCUGCCCUCUGUGAGAUUCACAGAAUGCCGAUGUUUCCAGCACCAGAGCUGUCUCUCCGCUGUCCAAUGAUGGAUUCCAAAUGAUCGUGCUGAUGAAGCUGGAAACAAUUAUCGAGAACUAGUUGGAACUCCUAGCAAUUCAGCGAUAGCUGCUAGCCGCUGGAGCACAAGAUCUGCCAGACAAAGUCCUGCCUAGACCUUGUACGACCAAGGAGGAUUUGGAGGACCUCUGCAAGAGUCUGGAGGAGGCCACCACAUAGCGGAAAGAGAUGGUUGCAGAGAGGGUUGAAGAGGAGGUUGUGGAGGAGUGAGCCUUUGACUCCCCUGUACCAUAGACGGUGGUCAGACAAGACAAUUAUGAAAUCCGUGUGUGCCAAUCAGAUUGCAGAGAUGUCUGAAUUGUUAGGAAAAAUUAUAAAUGUGUUAACUGUUAAUAUAUUUUAUUUCGUAAGAUUUUAUUACUUUUUUUCAAACAAUACAAAAUAUGCACAUACCAACGACAGCAUACAGACGCACACAAACAUCAAUGACAUAACACCUGGCCAGACCCACCUGCUCACACCCCAUCCAUCUUCAGCGCCCGCAUCACUCUCCGCCACAUGGCCUCAAACUGUACCAUUUUGUUUUACUCUGUCACCAACGCAUUUUCAACAUUUUAGAUAAUAUAGUAUUUGUCUUUUGCAUUUUGUUAGUGAUGGAGGAUUGGUUGAUUUCCAGUUAAGUGUGCAUUUUUUUCAAGAUGAUUGAUAUGCCAUGUCUUGAAAUAUGCAGACAGACGAAUUAAACUUACAUUUACAUUGUGACACUUCUGACAGACAACUUUCUAACUCUGCUCAUAACUUUUGGACUUAGUAGCAUUCGCAGAAGGCAUGGGUUAUUCUUAGUUUUACGCAUAAGACAUGACUCCGCCGUUGUGCUGUAGUAUGUGAUUUUUCUCUUGUAUAAUACAUUCUAUACAUUAGUUUAUACUGGAUUAAGUGUACAUUUUUGUUAUUGGUGUCGCUAUACCGGGAGGUUGAGAUAAUGUAUGCUAAUGUAAUUAGCAUGACAUUGUAAGUAACAGCAAACUUUCCAGGACAUAGCCAUUUCUUAUAUGGGCAGAAAGCGUAAAUUCUUGUUAAUCUAACUUCACUGUCCAAUUUACAGUAGCUAUUACAGUGAAAAAAUAGCAUGCUAUUGUUUGAGGAGAGUGCACAACAACAAAAAACUUUUAUCACGGAACUGGUUUGAUAUAUUCCCCUCUGAAGGUAAAUAAUGUACUUACAUUCAGUAGUCUUGCUCUGAUUUGUCAUCCUGAGGGUCACAGAGAUAAAAUGUAGCAUAGUUUUGUUUGAUUAAAUCCAUUUUUAUAUUCAAAUGUAGGAACUGGGUUCUACAGUUUGAACCCCUGCUGUCUCUGGCUCCACACCCACCCUGCCUGGCCAACUAGAUGUGUAAAAGUUAGUGUAUAAGCUAAUGAUCCAUCACGUAUGACAUUCCUGGGAGUGUAUAAACCUAGAUUUUGCAUUAUCAUAUCAUUUUGUAUGUUCUCUAUAGUUAUGUAUUUGAAAAUGUAUCGAUUGACCAAUUCGGCACAUUUGUGCAUACUUGCAAUGCUUCACUGGAUCAAUCUGAAACUUUGCAAACACACUACUGUGUGUAUAGAAAACACAUUUUUUGUUGUUGUAUUAUCUUACCAGAUCUAAUGUGUUAUUCUCCUACAUUAAUUUCAAAUUUCCACAAACUUCAAAGUGUUUCCUUGCAAAUGGUAUUAAGAAUAUGCACAGUCCCCAAAUCCAGAACAAAUUCAAGAAAGCGUACAGUAUUAUAUAGAGGCCUUAUUGCAUGGAACUUCCUUCCAUCUCAUAUUGCUCAAAUAAACGGCAAUCCUGGAUUCAAAAAGCAGAGAAAGCAACACCUCACGGCACAACGCCUCUCCUCUAUUUGACCUAAAUAGUUUGUGUAUGCAUUGAUAUGUAGGCUACGUGUGUCUUUUAAAAUGUAUUUAUGUAGUUCUGUUCUUGUCUAUUGAUGUUCUGUAUUAUGUCAUUCUGUAUUAUGUUUUGUGUGGACCCCAGGAAGAGUAGCUACUGCUUUUGCAACAGCUAAUGGGGAUCCUAAUAAAAUAGCAAAAAAUGCCAAAUAUCCUUGCUUCAGGUCCUGAGCUACAGGCAGUUAGAUUUGGGUAUGUUAUUUUAGGCGAAAAUUGAAAAAGGGUUCGAUCCUUCGUUAGUGAUGUUCCAACAUUCCCUCCAUCAUGUGCCAAUAUCACUUAUUUUUAAGUCUUGGAGGGCUUAAAACUUUCCAUUUGAUUCUGAGUUGUAUUUGCCCAUAUAAAGUCAGUUAUGACUGAGUAUACUGUACUAUAAAAAAAUGUCUUCAGUGGGGUAAUUGGUAUUACUGAGAAUAAAUAUAAGAACAAAUUGUUUAUAUUUAAUUGUGCCAGCCUGUGUGUGUGUGCUAAUCUGAUUGCAGAUUUCUCCGAACCCAUUUUAUAAAACAAAUUGAUAACAGAAA